UACGUAGGGGGCAAGCGUUGUCCGGAUUUAUUGGGCGUAAAAGAGCUCGUAGGCGGUUUGGUAAGUCAGGUGUGAAAUCUCCACGCUCAACGUGGAGGGGCCACCUGAUACUGCCAUGACUGGAGUCCGGUAGAGGAGUGUGGAAUUCCCGGUGUAGCGGUGAAAUGCGCAGAUAUCGGGAGGAACACCCGUAGCGAAGGCGGCACUCUGGGCCGGUACUGGACGCUGAGGAGCGAAAGCGAUGGGGAGCAAACAGGGGAUUAAGAAACCCG
rnacentral:rRNA from 1 species